UGUGGAUACUGUCAUUCAGAAUCACAGAUUAUUCUUUUUGGAAGUAUGACCAACUUAAUAAUUUUCACCGGAAAAUGUCAUCUGAACAAGUAGGCAAGCAGAUAGUUUUGAACACUGGCUGGUUAUGUAUUUUCUCAAAUAUGUAUUUUGGAUAAUUUUUAACCCCAAAAAAGCUACGGACUGCAGUUUUAAUUAACCACUUGUAAACUUAUGUUCACUGUUCUUUUUUUAUAAAUAUAGUAUUUGUAUUAAAUCUAUAUUCAUUGAGUCGAAUCGAGAA